GACGAACGCUGGCGGCGUGCCUAACACAUGCAAGUCGAACGGGGCAUUGAGAGCUUGCUCUUAAUGCUUAGUGGCGAACGGGUGAGUAACGCGUGAGAAACCUGCCUCUCAGUGGGGGACAACAGUUGGAAACGACUGCUAAUACCGCAUAAUGUAUCGAGAUCGCAUGAUUUUGAUAUCAAAGAUUUAUCGCUGAAAGAUGAGCUCGCGUCUGAUUAGAUAGUUGGUGAGGUAACGGCUCACCAAGUCGACGAUCAGUAGCCGGACUGAGAGGUUGGACGGCCACAUUGGGACUGAGACACGGCCCAGACUCCUACGGGAGGCAGCAGUGGGGAAUAUUGCACAAUGGGCGCAAGCCUGAUGCAGCAACGCCGCGUGAGGGAAGACGGUUUUCGGAUUGUAAACCUCUGUCUUUGGUGACGAAGAAGUGACGGUAACCAAGGAGGAAGCCACGGCUAACUACGUGCCAGCAGCCG
rnacentral:rRNA from 1 species